UAGAUAAUGAUGAAGCAAAAUUAAUCUAAUCCAACACUUGAUCUGAGAGAUACUAUGUGCAUCUCCAAGUGAAGUUACAACUGUUAGCUUCUGAAUCUAA
rnacentral:snoRNA from 14 species